AUGGAGGAAUCUAUCAGCUCGUCUAGGACCCCGGGUGCUUUAGCUUCAGUCUUGGACGGCGACGUCGACUGCUACGCAUCCGGGCCUGCCACCGCCGUGGCUUCCGACGACAGCGGCUGGACAGCCUACUUCAUCGACGGCGACGACACCUACCUGCAGUUGCACAACUCCCAAGAGGUGCCAGCGAAGAAGCCCCACGGCGACCGCGCCUCCACUUCCACCUUGUCCACCGCCAGCAAGACCAAGGCCAAGGCGAAGAAGGCAGCAGGCACCGAGGAGAACAACAAGAAGAAGAUGCCUCGUUUGGAACCAGCUGAUGAAGACCCUCUCCAAGACACAGCCUGCUCCCCUGCAAAUGCAACUCCUCAACUUCACCUGCAGGAUGGCUGGCAAAUUGCUGGCUGCGAGUGUGAGCAGAGAUCAUCGUCCGCGGCACCAGCAGCGCGGCAGUGGGUUGAGUACUGCAGGUGGGAUUCUUCUCGGGAGGGGCCGGAUGCAGAAAUUAAAGAGGUGUUGGCUUAG
rnacentral:rRNA from 1 species